UACGGGGGGAGCAAGCGUUGUUCGGAUUUACUGGGCGUAAAGGGCGCGUAGGUGGCGCUCCAAGUCCGUGGUGAAAGCUCGAUGCUCAACAUCGAGUCGGCCACGGAGACUGGAGGGCUCGAGCACUGUAGGGGCAGAUGGAAUUCCGGGUGUAGCGGUGGAAUGCGUAGAGAUCCGGAAGAACACCGGUGGCGAAGGCGGUCUGCUGGGCAGUUGCUGACACUGAGGCGCGACAGCGUGGGGAGCAAACAGG
rnacentral:rRNA from 1 species